GAUGAACGCUAGCGGCAGGCUUAACACAUGCAAGUCGAGGGGCAGCAUAAUGAAACAGCAAUGUGGAUUUGAUGGCGACCGGCGCACGGGUGCGUAACGCGUAUGCAACCUACCCAUAACAGGGGGAUAACACUGAGAAAUUGGUACUAAUACCCCAUAACAGUUUAAAAGGCAUCUUUUAGAUUUGAAAGUUCAGGCGGUUAUGGAUGGGCAUGCGUUGUAUUAGCUAGAUGGUGAGGUAACGGCUCACCAUGGCGACGAUACAUAGGGGGACUGAGAGGUUAACCCCCCACACUGGUACUGAGACACGGACCAGACUCCUACGGGAGGCAGCAGUGAGGAAUAUUGGUCAAUGGACGCAAGUCUGAACCAGCCAUGCCGCGUGCAGGACGACGGCUCUAUGAGUUGUAAACUGCUUUUGUACAAGGGUAAACCCUGGGACGUGUCCCAGGCUGAAAGUACUGUACGAAUAAGGAUCGGCUAACUCCGUGCCAGCCGCCGCAGUAAGAC
rnacentral:rRNA from 1 species